GACAACUGGGGCCUAAAGGUGACAGCUGGGAUCUGGAGGUGACAACAGGGACAUGGAGGGGACAGCUGCAGCUGGGAGGUGACAACAAGAACAUGGAGGUGACAAUGGGGAUCUGGAGGUGACAAUUAAGGCCUGGAGGUGACAACAAGAACAUGGAGGUGACAAUUGUGGCUGGGAGGUGACAACAGGGACAUGGAGGUGACAAUGGGGAUCUGGAGAUGACAAUUGAGGCCUGGAGGUGACAACAAGGACUUGAAGGUGACAACUGGGGACCUGGAGGUGACAAUUGAGGCCUGGAGGUGACAACGGGGCCCGGGAGGUGACAAUUGAGGCCUGGAGGUGACAACUGGAGCCAGGAGGUGACAACUGGGACAUGGAAGUGACAGCUGUGCCUGGGAGGUGACAACAAGAACAUGGAGGUGACAAUGGGGAUCUGGAGAUGACAAUUGAGGCCUGGAGGUGACAGCUGGGACCCAGAGGUGACAGUUGGGACCCAGAGGUGACAGCUGGGACCCAGAGGUGACA